UUCUACUUUAGUUUGAUUUUUAAAUUUUCUUUUUAAAGCACAUUACUGAUUAUUGAAAAACUACUUUUUUCUUUUUAGAUAAAAAAAUUAGUUUGAAGUAUUUAUGUAACUGUUAUAGUGUCCUUACUUUAUCUUGAACUUGUAUUUAGUUUCACAAUGUAUCUGCAAAAAAUUGCAGUAUACAUGAAAGAAAUUAAAAGUUGAUGAUAUAAUGAUGUUUCAUAUUUCAGUUCUUUCUUCUAUCCAUCUUAAUUGGUAUUCCUAUCCUCUUAUAUGUAGAUAGCUCAUGGUCAAUAUCUAGGAGCAGGAAUGCUAGACAUGUGGUACAGAUCUCCUGCUUUUAAAGAUUGUCAUGUGGUAUUCUGUAGUUGAGUCUAUUGUAGCUGUAAAUUACGAGGUUUUAAAGGCAUGGCUUUUCUCUUGGGACUGCCUGUAACAUCUAAUAUGGGAAUCUAUAAAGUGUAUCACUUGGACUUCUGUGUUAGCCCAUUGUGGUGGAUUGCUUUAAUAUACUUCAUAAUGUUAUUUGCUGUUUUAUUUAUUAGAGGCUGACUGUAUGGUACAGAUCAACUAGUCAAUGUCAUAAGUCGAAAUCUUAUAAGAGGUUCUAAAAUAUUGCCAUUUUUUACAUUUAUGUGGAAUGUUGUUCUCCCUUUGUCAUUUUUAGGAGGAAAUAGGAAAAGUGGCUAGGAGGAUUGAGAAAGCAGUCAGUCUGUGAAAUUUAAAAACUGCUUGCCAAACUAUGUUAUGGGAAAGAAUUUUGAUAUUUGGAACAAAAGAAAAUUUGGAGGUUUUGUGCCAAUGUGAAGAAAUAUAUAUUUGGAUGGAACAUUUAAAAUGUCACCAAGGUUUUUUUGCCUGCUUUAUUCAUGGGUAUUCAUGGGUAAAAUAUUCCCAUUUGUGUGUAGCCUAUUGCCUGACAAGUCGAAACAUACCUAUUUACGUUUGUUUUAGCAUGUCAGCAACAUCACUUGGAAUAAUGGGUAUAUUUUUAACCCAGAAUGUGCCAUG